CAGUAGCCACGGGAAUACAGAGGGUGCGAGCGUUAAUCGGAUUUACUGGGCGUAAAGCGUGCGUAGGCGGCUUCUUAAGUCGGAUGUGAAAUCCCUGAGCUUAACUUAGGAAUUGCAUUCGAUACUGGGAAGCUAGAGUAUGGGAGAGGAUGGUAGAAUUCCAGGUGUAGCGGUGAAAUGCGUAGAGAUCUGGAGGAAUACCGAUGGCGAAGGCAGCCAUCUGGCCUAAUACUGACGCUGAGGUACGAAAGCAUGGGGAGCAAACAGGAUUAGAUACCCCUGUAGUCCUGUCUCUUAUACC
rnacentral:rRNA from 1 species